GGGAUAGGUGAUUAGGCAUGACAUGGCUAGAAUGUGGGUUUCCGAGGAUAUGACCCUUGAUAGGAAAGUCUGGAGGUCUAGUAUCAGGGUUGUAGGAUAGGGGCUCCUAGAGUUUUUCGUAAAUUGUGGUGCAGAGGGCGAAUUUAAGAUAAAUCAAAUGCUUGAAGAGUAAAUUUGAAUAUUUUACAUUAAAUAAGUAAAUAAAUUGAUGUGUCUCCCCUUUAACAAUUUAACGUUUUAGAUGAGUUAAUCGUAUAAUUAACAAAAUUUUGCAAUCAUAAUCAUAUAUCUGAAAUUGGCAAAUUUAGGAUAAAUUAUAUAUGGAGGACAAGUCUGGAGGUCUAGUAUCAGGGUUGUAGGAUAGGAGCUCCUAGAGUUUUUUCGUACUCCUCACCCGGGGUUGGGUGAGGCUUGGCAGGGCUAUCCAUAGAUGAUUUGUGUAUUGGAUUGUGUCUCCCGUAUGGUAGUUAUUUAUGGUAGUUACUGUCUGAUAU
rnacentral:lncRNA from 1 species